rnacentral:rRNA from 1 species
UCGAUUUGGAGUUUGUUGCCCUGAGUGAUGGGCUCCGAAGCUAACGCGAUAAAUCGACCGCCUGGGGAGUACGGCCGCAAGGUUAAAACUCAAAUGAAUUGACGGGGGCCCGCACAAGCGGUGGAGCAUGUGGUUUAAUUCGAUGCAACGCGAAGAACCUUACCUGGUCUUGACAUCCACAGAAUCUUGCAGAGAUGCGAGAGUGCCUUCGGGAACUGUGAGACAGGUGCUGCAUGGCUGUCGUCAGCUCGUGUUGUGAAAUGUUGGGUUAAGUCCCGCAACGAGCGCAACCCUUAUCCUUUGUUGCCAUCGNUUAGGCCGGGAACUCAAAGGAGACUGCCGUUGAUAAAGCGGAGGAAGGUGGGGACGACGUCAAGUCAUCAUGGCCCUUACGACCAGGGCUACACACGUGCUACAAUGGCGUAUACAAAGGGAUGCGACCUCGCGAGAGCAAGCGGACCUCAUAAAGUACGUCUAAGUCCGGAUUGGAGUCUGCAACUCGACUCCAUGAAGUCGGAGUCGCUAGUAAUCGUGAAUCAGAAUGUCACGGUGAAUACGUUCCCGGGCCU